AAAUUUGUAAAAUCUGGGGUCAUCUGAGUGAUCCGAACGGAAAUGUAGCCAAUGUAAUAAUUGUAAAGGGAUUCAAAAAGUAACUUGCUUUCUAACAAGUUAUAUACAUUUAACACUUCAUAUAUAACACUAAAUAGAGGUCAAAUAAUAGUAAAUCCUAUGUAAUAAAAUACACACAUUAAAACAUUUAAAUACCAUAUUUGUGGAAAAAUUUAACUGUAAGCA